CCCGCUGAACUUAAGCAUAUCAAUAAGCGGAGGAAAAGAAACUAACAAGGAUUCCCCUAGUAACUGCGAGUGAAGCGGGAAAAGCUCAAAUUUAAAAUCUGGUGGUCUUUGGCCAUCCGAGUUGUAAUUUAGAGAAGCGUCUUCCGCGCUGGACCAUGCAUAAGUCUCCUGGAAUGGAGCGUCAUAGAGGGUGAGAAUCCCGUCUUUGGCAUGGACCCCCAGGGCUUCUGUGAUGCGCUCUCAAAGAGUCGAGUUGUUUGGGAAUGCAGCUCAAAAUGGGUGGUGAACUCCAUCUAAAGCUAAAUAUUGGCGAGGGACCGAUAGCAAACAAGUACCGUGAGGGAAAGAUGAAAAGAACUUUGGAAAGAGAGUUAAACAGUACGUGAAAUUGUUGAAAGGGAAACGCUUAAAGUCCAGUCGCGUUGGUUAGGAAUCAGCCUUGGUUUUCCUUGGUGCACUUCCUAGUCGACGGGUCAACAUCAGUUUUGACCGUUGGAUAAAGGUCAAGGGAAUGUGGCACCUUCGGGUGUGUUAUAGCCUUUGAUUGUAUACAGCGGUUGGGACUGAGGAACUCAGCACGCCGAAAGGCCGGGUCUUGUACCACGUUCGUGCUUAGGAUGUUGGCAUAAUGGCUUUAAUCGACCCGUCUUGAAACACGG
rnacentral:rRNA from 1 species